rnacentral:lncRNA from 1 species
AUGGCAGAAGAUCCACGUGCACUUCCCAUCCCGCAGGAAUGGGGUCACGUUCCGGGACCUGGGGAGGCCGUGAGCCCAACCCCUCUGCAGGUCCCGGCUGGGGGCAGUGGGGAGAGAGGCCGCGCGCUUUGGGGCCGGUUGCUGGGGAUGGUGCAGGGGUCUGCACGGCUCAGGGGUGUGCAUGGUGGGUGUAGAGCCAGGGGCACGGCUCCGUGGUUGGCAGCACCGUGGGCAGCGUGCAAAGCUUUACCAAUGCGGUGUGUGGCUGUAGCUCUGCGUCUUGUGUCGGAGGAGGAUGUGUGCAGCUGGGCUCUGAACCUCUCCUGGAAAAGGGACGAGUUUUGCCUUUUUUACCCGCAGGACCCUGCUUUGUGCGCCAUGCGUUGCUUUCCUUCUGCUGGGGGUGUUUGUAGCAGCCCCUGUGCCACCUGCAGCAGGGAGGCAGAAAAGCCCGAAAGCCCCGGGUACUGUUCUCGAAGCACCGGGGCAGACGCUGCCGAGCCAAGGGACUGCGGCCCACACACGGCUGCAGCUCGGGGCAGGGGGGCCCUGGGGACACGGGGACGUGGGGACACAGCACCAGCAGCACCCGCAUGUCCCGGCCUUUACCUCCCCCUAGUGCCACCCUGGGGAGCAGAGCUGGGCACGGCCGGGGCGCAGCACCCUGCCCGGCACCCACAGCGUGCUGGUGGCAGCAGCCACCCCCAAGCCCCCAAACCGGGCCAAGCGAGCGCCUGGCAUUGCUGCUGCAGCCGGCGGCAGCGAGGAGACAUUGAGCAGAGGGGGCUGAGCAGAGCCAUGCGGUGGAGGCACCAACGCUUGGUCCAAAGGUACCGAAAAAGUGAAGUUCUGAAGGUGGGAAUCGGGUGGGAAUCAGCACUGAAAAGUGCUGUCCCCAUGCGGCCGGGUGAAAGGAGGGCUCGGACCCCACCAGGUCACUGUGUCUUUGGGGACGAGGACCUGAGCCCAUGCAUGCACCAAAUGGUGCCCGGCCUCAGCAGAGCCGCGGGGUCACCCCCAGCCCCCGGGGCUGCCCCUGGCCUUCACUCCCACCACCCCUUGUGCUGGGACCAGGCUAAGAUUCCCCUCUGUGGACUGGGGCAAGGCAUGCUCUGUUGA